GGGCAGUUUUGCCAUCAGAGUGGAGGUGAGGGGUCUGUUGUGGUGGCAGUCAGCAGCUGCCUGAGGAUCUGGGAGAGACCUAGCAGGCAGUGAGGACAGUGGAUGGCAAGGGGCCUCAGAGCUCUGUGACCUCAUAAUUUUCCUGUGGGACCACAAAGGUGGCUUCCACAGUGCAUAGUGGUUAUCAGCUGUGCCUCCCUCUUAGAGGUCCUCGGAGUCCAGAGUCCUCGAAGGGAAAUCUGACACAAAGAAGCAGGUGUGAGACCGGCCCCUUUCUCCCAUGCCUUAGACAGGGCUCCAGGGACUGCUUCAGGGGAGAUGUCAGAGGGCAGCAGGGACCGGGAAGGGAGGAAGAAAGCAGAGUGACAGUGAGAGGUGGGAAAACUACAAGAGGAAUUGUUUGUACGCUUGGAUCUGGACUUUUAGAACUGGUCAGGACCUGACAGAUCCUCCAGCCCAGUUCUCCCGGCUCUCAAACACUGGCAUCAUUUAUAAUUCCCUGGAAAAUCACCAGCAGGUAAAUGAAGGAGAAAAGAAAAGAACAAAAUCCACCGGGAACCAGAGACUUCCAGGCUCCAAAGACAGGCAAUCUCCACCAGGAAGUAAGCCUAGAAUUGUACGAUUGGAACUCAAUGACGAUUCAUGACUUCAAUUGAGAGAUGAGUUUCAAGCCACCUUUCAAGGAAUCCUGGGUAGAAUGAAAUCUGUUCCAUGGAAUCUUAAGAAGAAGAAGAAAAAAAAUCAAGAUCCCUGUGGGCAAAGUCAUUUGCUGUCAUGCUUGGAAGGAGUAGAACCAAGUGUUUAUGAGCAUGGACUUUGGAGUCAGGAUACUCUCCUGAUAUACCACGAUGCAGAAUGUCAAGUAGGAAAAGAAGCUGUUGCAUUGGGCAAUUAAGAAGUCAUUGGUGAGAGAAGUUUCAGUCUGAAGUGGAAUCAUAGUAAAUUACAGAAAAAUAGUCUUUGGAGAGAGAAGGAAUCUGGUUAAUCCACAGGCCACACAAUCAUGGUUGAAAAUUAGUGAAUGAGCGAAUGAUGGAUCCAUCUCUUGAAGCAAUACUUGAAUCGCAGAAUUCUUAUAUUGAUAGAAGCAGAAGGAAACCAGAAGUGCUCCAAUUAAAGGCCUCCAUUUUUCAGAUCAGCAGACUAUGAGCCAUGCAUAGGAUCACACACAGUUGCAAAGGAAGUUGCAAAGAAAUGUACAAGGAGUUCUGGUGCCUCUUCAUCCAGUAUCUUCUAACGUUAACAACCUGCAAGACCACAGCAUAAUAUCAAAAUCAGGAAAUUGGCAUUGGUACAUUCCGAAGAGUUUAUUCAAAUUUCAAAAGUUUUGCAUGCA
ensembl:lncRNA LINC01517 long intergenic non-protein coding RNA 1517